rnacentral:ncRNA from 1 species
GAAAGCCGUGUGCAAUGAAAAAAUGCAAGCACGGUUUGGGGAGGGAUUUUUUUCCUAUUUUAGCAAAGAAAUUAUCUACUCCAU